rnacentral:rRNA from 1 species
GGGCACGGGGGGAGGAAAGCAGGGGAUCGUAAGACCUUGCGCUGAUGGAUGAGCCGAAGUCGGAUUAGCUAGUUGGUAGGGUAACGGCCUACCAAGGCGACGAUCCGUAGCUGGUCUGAGAGGACGACCAGCCACACUGGGACUGAGACACGGCCCAGACUCCUACGGGAGGCAGCAGUGGGGAAUAUUGGACAAUGGGCGCAAGCCUGAUCCAGCAAUACCGCGUGUGUGAAGAAGGCCUGCGGGUUGUAAAGCACUUUCAGUGGGGAAGAAGAAGCCUCUAUUAAUAUGAGGGGCGGAUGACAUUACCUACAGAAGAAGCACCGGCUAACUCUGUGCCAGCAGCCGCGGUAAUACAGAGGGUGCGAGCGUUAAUCGGAAUUACUGGGCGUAAAGGGUGCGU